UCCAUGUCAUACAUACUCUCCUACUAGAAUAUGUCAUAUGUAUUUUGUAGGAGAUUUUUAACAUUUCUAUGUACAGCUAUUAUUUUUUCUUAGCAUCUGAUUAUUUCAUUUUGCCUCUGGGGCUCCACUUUUAGUCAGACAUUAGUCCUAUUUGCAAAUCUUGAACUGCUUGAAUAAAUUAAGUACGUUAAUUACUGUACAGGUAAUAUCACUUUUGAUAACUGCAGGGUUGUGUUUUGGAAGCUUAUUAGAAUCAUUUUAUCACUUCUUGUUGUCUUUGUUGGAUGUCUAGUUUAAGAGAAGUGUUUGAUCUACAUAUAUCUCAUAAGCUUGAUAUUUUGUAAAUAGCUUGUCUGGCUCUCAACCCAUUUUAAUUCAAAUUUUUGUGUGGGUGGGUAGAAGACAUUUGCAUAAAACUCUACAGUUCUAUUGUGCAAAGUCCUAUUCGAUAUGAGAUUGAGAAAUAAUUAAGAUAAAAUCCAGUAACAUUCUUAUGCAAUGUGAUCAUGUGGGUGUAACUGUGUGUCAUAGCAUUAUCAUGAAGGUAUUUGAGGCAUAAAGUCAAAUGCCUCCCUUAGCUUUAGUAAAGGCUUAAUAUUUUUAUCCUUACGAGUUCUGUAUCCUAAAUAGAAGUGGUGUGAAAGAUGUUGGAUAGGAGAUAGGAAAUAUUUUUAAUUAAUAUACUAAUGCAACCACUGCUUUAUAAGUAUGUUUGUUAUAGUAUUGCCUAUACUAGAGACUUUUUGUCUGUAAGACUAUCCUUUGCGGAAUUACACCUUUUUUGCCAGAUUUGAGCUCUCUGACAGGAGCAGGCAAGGACAGUGUUUAUUGGUAUAACCAUACCAAGAUCGGGUCUUUUGCCAGUUUAGCUAUGUAUUAUUUAUGUAUGGAUUACUUAAUUAUUAUGAUGAUUUUAUUUUUUUUUUCAUUCUUUUCAGGGCUUUGUGCACACUCCUGUGUUUUUUGUUGAAUUGUCACAGUUCUCACAAAAUGUAGCUAAUGUAUUGACAAACGUCCUCUGUUUGGAUUUGGACUGCAUUUUAGGACAUUCUUGGUUCUUUUAGGCAAAAUCUUACCUAAGACUGUGUCUAUUGAGGCUGACAGCAGACGUUCUUCUUCAUAGUGGUGUGGGGAGCAGCUUUGAGCCUCUUGUUUCCUGACCCCUGUACCACAUACCUCUGGUGGAAUCGAUGAGUCUCAUGCUGUUGAGUGCCAGAUUUGUACAUCUAAAAAAUGACUGCCUGUUAUAGAUGGACAACAUUUGAACUCUCAGAGGAUGAAGAGCUACUUUGUCACACCAGCAAUUACAGCAAAUUAUAAAUCAGACAAUUCUGACAAGCUUUCCAGCAUGAGGUUUAGAUAGUGUUGAACAAUGCAAGGAAAUAAGGCAACUCUACACAGAAUUUACUCUGGAUUACCCUGGAUUAUUUACCCUAAAGGUAUCACAACACAGAACACACUGCUUCAAGCAACAACUAAAAUGCUUAUUAAGUUUGAGUCAUGCAUAUAACUUACUCAUAAGGGCUUGACAAUAACAUUUGCACAUAGAGGCCAAAGAGUUGGUGUCACACCCCAGUUUCCUGUUCUGGUUGCUCUUCUGGGCAGAGAAAAUGUAUGUCUGCUUACAAUCUUGGUUGCUCUAAAGGCAAGGCUUAUUUCAGUAAAAAUAAUUCUCGCAAAUGUCAUGACAGUUUCUGUGUGCCUAGGGGACAAGUGCAUAUGUAAUUAUGUGGCUUACGUUCAUACACAGUGAUUGCUGCACAUUGAAUUCCAAGUGAGUGCAGCUCUGAGCACUUAUUCUUAAAAAUCAAGAUUAAUUUGGGACAGUGAAUAACCCACCUUAAAAUGUACAGAUUUUACAGGCAGACAGGAAUUUUAGGUAAUCUAUCUGGUAUGUCUUCUUUGGUAACUCAGGAUUCAUAAUUUAAUUUCUUUUUUUCUUCAUAAAUGAAGUAUUUUCUAUCAUAAAUGGAAAAAGGAGUUAAAAGGAUUUAUUAUUUACUAUUAUAUAGGAGUUAAAUGCAGAUUAAGCAGAAACUGAAGUAUGAUUGCUGAAGGGUUAGUUGCUUGAAGAAAAAAAAAAGUAUUAAAACAAAACGAGUGCUUUCCUUAUUCCUAACUCUGUGCUUGUUACACAUAACUGACUGUCAUAAUUGCCUAAAGAAACAUAGAUAGCAUCAUAGUUCAUACUGAUAAAUUAUGAUUUGUAAACAGAUGUGCAUACCUUCUUUCAAUCUCAUCUCUCCUCAGACUGUGAAAAACUGCCUCCUCAUUAAAAAGUAAUUGUUUAAAAUCAGUCUGGUUUUGGAUGGGGUUCACACCAAAAGUGAGAAUUUGUUUCAGAACAUGAAUGUUUUACUUCUUUUAUCUAAUAGAUUCACAACAGAUAUAUAUGGAUUUUCUUCCAAAAAUAGAAGAAAAAAAAAGAGACAUCUCAAACCAGACUCUAGAAUGUGCACUAAAAAUGUCACCUCAAUUAAUUUCAUUUUUCGUUUUCACCCUGCAACUCUGAAGAAAAAAGUUGAAAUAAUGAGUGAAAAAAGUGGAAUAAAAAGUGGAAAAAAUAAGAAUCCCAAUUUUACCCUUAUGAGACUCCCAAUACUAUCAGUGGAGUUCUGCUGUGCACGGGGACUAGGAGUUCAGCCCAGCACAUCUCCAUCUGAACACUGUUAUGAUUCAGAAGAACCAUGCCCUAAAUAAUUUUUAAUUUUUCUAGAACUGAGCUUCAGUGAAGAUUUUAUACUUCGAGUUUCUGUAACCCUUGGCCACAGUAUGCUAACCUCUCCCUCAGGCUAGUCCAUUUUUUCCCUUGUCCCUCCCUACAUCUUCAUGCUUUUCUGGCUGAGGUCCCAGGCACAUGGUAAUACUCUGCCAAAUCCAAGUUCAGAGCAAGGACAUAUCUCACUUCCAAAAGAAGAAGAACAUUUCAAAAGAGGAGAGAAUCUUAUACGAGGAACCUCAUCCUCACAGAAAGCAAAGACAGUUGCAUGAGUAGCGUCACAGUAAAAAUAGUCUUUCCAGUCUAAAACACCUGCUCUUCAGGAUUCAUACAAAACAUUUCUAAACUGCAAUACCCCUUCAAGUCUUCAGGGGAUUAAAAAAAUAAUAAUAAUUAAAAAAAAAAAAAAAA